rnacentral:lncRNA from 1 species
UAUGCAUCUCUCAGCUAAAACCAUGGAUUCGGCCCCGUUGUAAAGGCCUAAGAACAUAUUUAUUAUCCAAAUAUGUAGUAGAUAAACCAUAAUAAGUAGACAAUAACUGUAAAUAUAAAUAUAAUUAUUUUAAUUUAUACUUUUUAGAUAACAUAGAGAUAAACUUUACUUUGUAAUCUAUAGCAGUUGAAGACAUGGGCUAACCGGGGGGGGGGGGGGGGAAGCCCCCCAGUUUGUUGGGCAAACAGUCCGGCAAUAUUGGCUUAUUAUAAAAAAAUAAAUGGGACAAAUUCUGUGUAUUUUGUGGGAAAUUCUGUCAAUUUUGUAGAAAAUAUGCUAUGUAAUAGGAAUUUUUCGUAAUCAAUCCCCCCCCCCCGUCGACAACAAUUUUGGAAAGUUUCUCCGAAAAUUUUCUUUUGACAACUCGGACACAAUCCAAAAAAAUAGGGCAAAUCUCUUUCCGCCCCCAUAAUUUUUCAAUUCCCGUACGCCCAUGGUUGAAGAGCCACUCUGUGGAUACACCGUUAUUAAAUCAUUAUUAUAUGGAAUUCUUCAGGGGUAAAGUGUUUUGAGUUUGGAAUUCUUCAGGGGUAAAGGAUUUUGAGCUUGGAAUUCUUCAGGGGUAAAGUGUUUGAGUUUGGAAUUCUUCAGGGUAACGUAUUUUGAGUUUGGAAUUCUUCAGGGGUAAAGUGUUUUGAGUUUGGAAUUCCUCAGGGGUAAAGGAUUUUGAGCUUGGAAUUCUUCAGGGGUAAAGUGUUUUGAGUUUGGAAUUCUUCAGGGGUAAAGUGUUUUGAGUUUGGAAUUCUUCAGGGGUAAAGUAUUUUGAGCUUGGAAUUCUUCAGGGGUAAAGUGUUUUGAGUUUGGAAUUCUUCAGGGGUAAAGUGUUUUGAGUUUGGAAUUCUUCAGGGGUAAAGGAUUUUGAGCUUGGAAUUCUUCAGGGGUAAAGUGUUUUGAGUUUGGAAUUCUUCAGGGUAACGUAUUUUGAGUUUGGAAUUCCUCAGGGGUAAAGUGUUUUGAGUUUGGAAUUCCUCAGGGGUAAAGGAUUUUGAGUUUGGAAUUCCUCAGGGGUAAAGGAUUUUGAGCUUGGAAUUCUUCAGGGGUAAAGUGUUUUGAGUUUGGAAUUCCUCAGGGGUAAAGUGUUUUGAGUUUGGAAUUCCUCAGGGGUAACGUAUUUUGAGUUUGGAAUUCCUCAGGGGUAAAGUGUUUUGAGUUUGGAAUUCUUCAGGGGUAACGUGUUUUGAGUUUGGAAUUCUUCAGGGGUAAAGUGUUUUGAGUUUGGAAUUCUUCAGGGGUAACGUGUUUUGAGUUUGGAAUUCUUCAGGGGUAAAGUGUUUUGAGUUUGGAAUUCCUCAGGGAUAAAGGAUUUUGAGUUUGGAAUUCUUCAGGGGUAAAGUGUUUUGAGUUUGGAAUUCUUCAGGGGUAAUGUGUUUUGAGUUUGGAAUUCUUCAGGGGUAAAGUGUUUUGAGUUUGGAAUUCCUCAGGGGUAAAGGAUUUUGAGCUUGGAAUUCUUCAGGGGUAAAGGAUUUUGAGCUUGGAAUUCUUCAGGGGGGUAAAGUGUUUUGAGCUUGGAAUUCUUCAGGGGUAAAGUGUUUUGAGUUUGGAAUUCUUCAGGGGUAAAGGAUUCGAGCUUGGAAUUCUUCAGGGGUAAAGAGGUUUGAGAUUGAAAUUUUUCAGAGUUUGGAAUUCUUCAGGGGUAAAGUGUUUUGAGUUUGGAAUUCUUCAGGGGUAAAGGAUUUUGAGCUUGGAAUUCUUCAGGGGUAAAGUGUUUUGAGUUUGGAAUUCUUCAGGGGUAACGGAUUCGAGCUUGGAAUUCUUCAGGGGUAAAGAGGUUUGAGAUCGAAAUUUUUCAGAGUUUGGAAUUCUUCAGGGGUAAAGUGUUUUGAGUUUGGAAUUCUUCAGGGGUAGAGUGUUUUGAGCUUGGAAUUCUUCAGGGGUAAAGGAUUUUGAGCUUGGAAUUCUUCAGGGGUAUAACUAUGAAAAACAUGUAUCCUCGACAGGGGGGUACGGAUAUUAAAUGGAAUAGCCC